CGGGAAACAAUCCCAUUAAUGAAGAGCCACCCACUGAGCUUGAGAGGCGUGUGAUUGCCCUUGUCGGUAGUGACUAUGUGCAGGGCCAUGAAACUGUUGCUGAAACAAAUGCCUUAAAAAUGCUAGCAGAGUCGAGUGCAGCGAAUGUACAAAUAGCAGGU